rnacentral:lncRNA from 1 species
UUUUUUUUUUUGGAAAUGACACAUACUGGGGAGAGGCAGAGUCUGUCUUCAGUUACUAAUUUCAUUUAUUAAAAUUACCAAUACUUUCUAACCCAAUACUACAAAAAAAGUGCUCAGGGAUAAAUGUGGAAGUCUGUUGUCUUAGGAUCCCCUAAACAAAAUGCCAUUAGAGCCAUGCCAGGACUGACUAACACUUGAGAAGCAAUUGUUUCACAACAAAGUGAAUUUCCACCUCACAACAACUAUUUCUCAGCUUUUUGCAUGCUGGUGCUAAGACGAUGACCGAGGUGACGGAGGCCUGAGGGCUCCCUGUGUCCCUGGACCAGCUCCUCAGAGCUCCUUGAUCCCCUUGGCCAUGGCCAGGCUCCCCUGGGUGAGAAGACCACUGCAGUGCAGGGAGGCACAGCUACGAUGGACACUGAGAAAAUGAAGGGUAUUAGCACUGACAAGCCAGUCAGCUGCUCUGUUAGAGAGUGCUGAAGGCAUGGACAUCCCACCUGAUGGCAAGAUGUUCCUCAGGGAAUUACAACCAUCUGUUGCCUACUAGGAAUACACAAGUCAUAGGCAUUGUUGCCCAGCUUUUUACCCUGGUUUUUAUUUAUACUAUUGCAGUGCUUUGACACUGAGUCAACAGCUGAGUCACAGCUCCCCAAGCUCCUGGGUUUUCUUGUGUGAAAUAUAAAAACAAUAGGUCUUUUCCACUUAAAAACAGAGCUCCACACUUCUGGGGUGCCAUUCCCAUUCCAAGGACUGCAGGCUCACCACAGGCCCCUUCCUCCUCUCAUUCCUACCCAGUUUCCCUUUCCAAACAGAAGUUACACUGUUACUAUUGUAACAGCCUGCACACAAUCUGCUGAGAAUAAAUACCCAUGUAAUGAGCUGAAAUGAUAUGGUAAUUGCUUAAUUCAAAAUAAUUACAUGGCUAUUUGGGCCCUCCAAAGUAAGGUAUUACUUAUUCAGCCCAAACAAAUUGCUGUUUGCCCAGGUUUUGAACUCUGGUAAACAGCAGUGCAGCAGCCAUCUGCAUACUGAAUCCUGAGACUAUUUUGUGUUCGAUGUUUACAUACACAGAAUUGGAAACAAAUAUUUGUCAAGGCAACAAACAGCUUUUAGCACAACCAAGGGGAAAAAAAAAAAAAACCAGAAGCCCUUGGAAACAGGAGUGAAAACACAGCCAAGUCAGAGUGCUACAAGGGCAGCAGCUGGCUCCAAGUCACCAAAUGCCCUCCAAAACAUCCCACAAGUUUGAAAAUGUCAGAUAAGGGCAUGGGAAUUGUUUGGUUUAUCUUGGCUUGUCAUUUGUGUCUGAGUUGAGUGCCAAUCUCCCUGUGUCACCUGGAGAUACAGAUGGGAAAGCCACCACAGAAAUGACAUGGAAGGAAGAAAGGGAAGGAAGAGUGAGGGCAGACAGACCUUCAAGCCCUUGAUUUCAGCCAGCUCUCCUCGAGUCAAUAAAACAUCUUCCACGGCCUUUGGUGAGGGCUGAGCAGGCCUGGAUUUCAGAGCAGCAAUGAAAGAUUUAAAAAUCACUGUGUCAGCACUAGCAGAAGGCUCUCCAUGAGUGUGAACAAUGCAGGCUGGAGUCAUGACUCUUGGCUUCUCAGAGGUAAUUCCCUGCUCCCUGAGACUGCCAAAAGCACUGACAACCAAGGACUUGGAACUGGACUGGUGCUGCUUGGUGGAGGAAGGCAGAGCCCCUCAACAGCCAGGGUGGGAUUGAGUACCCCACCGACCCCACUGAGGGAAGCACCAAUGGACUGCAUUGAGGGGCUCCUUUUCUGCUGAGAGGAUGAAAUAUUUGAGCCUGGAAUGGAAAUUAAAUCCACACUCGACUUUCUACUCCUCUAUUACACACCUACACUUCAAACACAUUACACUGAGUUUCAUACAUGUAUUUCUAUUUCUGGAGUUGCUGAUUUAAAGAAGUGGACAUAGAUGAAAGAUCUGCAUGCCAUUUCCUACUUCCAGGGGGAAAAAAAUCAUGAAAUCAACUGAAAUCUGGUCUUUGCUGGUUAAGUACAACUUGGGUAAGAACUAAAAUUCAGCAGCUGAUGUUUCCACUUAAAAAAGCAGACAAAAUGAAGCAGCAAGAUGUUCAGAGGCUCUCAGAUUACAACGAAAUAAUAUAUACCGUUUUAACAAGGCUUUGCAACUUACAAGAGAGUGGUCCAAAGGGCAUGAACAGAAUGACUGUUUGGCUUCUAGAAGCAUUUCACAUCUGCUAGGAGUCAUCUGAUGUUCUAAACCUUCAAGAAAGCAGAAAACACAUGAUUUUUAACAUAUAUGCAAAAAUACUAAAACUUCUCAUUACUUCAGCGGUAGCAUUCAUUUUUAUGCAUACUUUGAAAUUUUUGUUUCAGCAUUAAGUAUCUCUUAAUCCAUUUAUAUAUUAUAGAUAGACUAUUCCAGUACAUUCACUUAGCAUUCUUGCUGCUGAAGAAUCAGCAUUAUUCUCUCUGCUUAAUUUGCUGAUGCUGUUCAAGGAGUAAUUUGGAAC